rnacentral:misc_RNA from 1 species
UCAGGGCAUGUGUGCUCUUUCCAGGAGGGAGGAGUACACGGUCGACCAUCUGCCCUCACACCAGAGACUGGCUGGCAGCGUUGCCGUGCGUCUCUUUGGAGUGCUGUUGCCUGCCCUGCUCUUCGCCAGAGCGCACACGCACACGCGAAGAAUCACAGUGAGACGUUCCCGCAUCCUAUGGGCAUACAGCCACGCAACGUGGAAGGCGAGGGUGCCAGCAGCGGGAUGCCCACACCAGAAGGAGGAAGCACUCAGCGAAGGAAGGAAAAAGAUAAGGGAAAGAUGACAGCAAGGCGCAGUGCCGGAUGUGGAGACGGACGUGGGAUGCGAUAGCGAAGGGCGGAAUAUCUAUCGUGGCACAUCCUCAUUGCUUGUUCUUUCCCUCUUCCGCCACCCCUUGCCUUUUCUUUUCGCGCUCGCCGUGUGGUGAUGCGCCCCUCCCCCCUCCCAUCCUCCCCUUUCUCUGCUCCUCCUUCUGCGCAGCUCAUAUCUGCCACUUGUCCAUCUUGUUUUUCACUUGUGUUAAAGCCGCGGCACCCUCUCCUCCACGACGGCGCCCCGCCCCGUUCUCCGGUGGUAUCCGGGGUGUGGGGAAGGAGGGGGGAAGGCACCGGUAACGCGCGUACGCCUCCUGUUGUAUCGUUUGUGGUUUUCGAUGUGUGGAACUUGUCUUUGCCAUUCGGCUUGCACCGUGCGUAUGCGCCUGCACGCGUGUAUCAGCUUGGGGCGCUGGC